CGUAACGGAAGUCAUCCCUGGAGGGUUGGUGUGAAGAGUAGUUAUGGAGUAGGCCAGGUAGUACUAUGAUGUCCGACACAGAGGAGGAGUCCACAAGUGGGAGAUUUCAAGGGGGAAGAUCAAGAGAAACAUAAGCAUGAAUCUUUGAGUCUUUGGACGGUGCCAGAUUGGAUUCUCCUUCUUUGAAGACAUGUUAAGAAUGGGGAUGGAUCCUGAGGUGUGAGCUCACGUGGGGUGACAAUGCUUUAAAAGACCUGCCUCCACUGCACUGUCUUCACCGGUCCCAUGCAAGUCCACCGUCCCCUUUUGUGGAAAUUAGUUGUGAGCCUACGGGGUUACAGAUUGAGAGUGGAAACAAGAGGGAAGAGAAUGGCCAAUUUAAUCUGAUUGUAGACCCUGGAAAGGAAUCCACCCGAUAAUUUAGAAGUCCCUUCCUCAGUUCCUCUGAGAAUAAACAUCCUUACCAAUC